rnacentral:rRNA from 1 species
UACGUAGGAGGCGAGCGUUGUCCGGAAUUACUGGGCGUAAAGAGCGUGUAGGCGGCCAUACAGGUCAGCUGUGAAAACUCGAGGCUCAACCUCGAGACGUCGGUUGAAACCGUAUGGCUAGAGUCCGGAAGAGGAGAGUGGAAUUCCCGGUGUAGCGGUGAAAUGCGCAGAUAUCGGGAAGAACACCCGUGGCGAAGGCGGCUCUCUGGGACGGUACUGACGCUGAGACGCGAAAGCGUGGGGAGCGAACAGG